GAUGAACGCUGGCGGCGUGCCUAAUACAUGCAAGUCGAGCGAACGGACGAGAAGCUUGCUUCUCUGAUGUUAGCGGCGGACGGGUGAGUAACACGUGGAUAACCUACCUAUAAGACUGGGAUAACUUCGGGAAACCGGAGCUAAUACCGGAUAAUAUUUUGAACCGCAUGGUUCAAAAGUGAAAGACGGCCUUGCUGUCACUUAUAGAUGGAUCCGCGCUGCAUUAGCUAGUUGGUAAGGUAACGGCUUACCAAGGCAACGAUGCAUAGCCGACCUGAGAGGGUGAUCGGCCACACUGGAACUGAGACACGGUCCAGACCCCUACGGGAGGCAGCAGUAGGGAAUCUUCCGCAAUGGGCGGAAGCCUGACGGAGCAACGCCGCGUGAGUGAUGAAGGUCUUCGGAUCGUAAAACUCUGUUAUUAGGGAAGAACAUAUGUGUAAGUAACUGUGCACAUCUUGACGGUACCUAAUCAGAAAGCCACGGCUAACUACGUG
rnacentral:rRNA from 1 species